CCUUCAAAUCUGGAGCGGCUGUCGAUGUUUCUCUUCUCCCCAACUCCAUGCUGCCUCAGGUUGAACUCUUCGUCUUGGAUUCCAGAUUUCCAUUUUUUGAUCCUGUGAAGUGCUCGAUUCCGUUUAAUUUUGUUUUCCCCACCGAUCAUUACGAUCCUGAUGGUGAGAACGAUGCACAAAUCGAAGGCUUGGAAGCGUCCUACCGAGGAAAAAUGCCUUCUGAGUUCAAAAAAUGUGCUAUAUUAACGAUCGUCUCCUCGACAAGUGACCUCCUCCAGUGCUCCGCUCCCUGUCGGAGGUCUUGUGUGAGGAAGACGGAAAUAUUUUCCUGAUGGCUUUUCUGCUUAUGUUUAACCAUGUGGAUUUUGAUUGCUCUCUUUAGUUUGUUCUUGAUAGGUGCCUGAGUUACCACAUCGAUCCUUUGCCACUUUUUAAGUUUUCGGAUCGGCUCUUCUCUUGAUAUGAUUAGGGUUCUCAAGUUCUCGAUGUAUGUUUUCUUCUCCUCGCGAUGCAAUGUUGGCUUCGCACGAGCACAGUGAACACCGAAGUCUAUCAAAUGAGUAAUCCAUCAAUUGAGCACACGAGCUCAUCACUACUGUCACUUAUUGCACUCUCUGAUUCCGCACAAGAUUGGAAAGCCAUUCUUUAA